ACGGCGAGUGAAGAGGGAACAGCCCAAAUUUGUAAUCUGGCCCCCUUUGCGGGGGGUCCGAGUUGUAAUCUCGAGAACUGUUUUCUGCGCUGGACCAUGUAUAAGUCUGUUGGAAUAUAGCUUCAUAGAGGGUGAGAAUCCCGUACAUGACAUGGACUACCAGUGCUUUGUGAUACAGUCUCUAAGAGUCGAGUUGUUUGGGAAUGCAGCUCAAAUUGGGUGGUAAAUUCCAUCUAAGGCUAAAUAUUGGCGAGAGACCGAUAGCGAACAAGUACCGUGAGGGAAAGAUGAAAAGCACUUUGGAAAGAGAGUUAACAGUACGUGAAAUUGUUGAAAGGGAAACGCUUGAAGUCAGCCUUGUUCUUGGUUGUUCAGCCUCAUGGCGUAUUCAACUCUGAGCAGGCCAGCAUCAGUUUUGGGUGCUGGAUAAGGGCUUAGGAAAUGUGGCAGCCUUGGCUGUGUUAUAAUCCUUUGCUUGAUACAGUGCUCUUGGGACUGAGGAAUGCAGCGAGCCUUUUGGCAGGUCCAUUUUUUAUGGACCUCUCGCUU
rnacentral:rRNA from 1 species